UACGAAGGGGGCGAGCGUUGUUCGGAUUUACUGGGCGUAAAGGGCGUGUAGGCGGUCUGAUAAGUUCGGCGUGAAAUUUCCCGGCUUAACCGGGGGAUGUCGUCGGAGACUGUCGGACUAGAGGGUGAUAGAGGCGUGUGGAAUUCCGGGUGUAGUGGUGAAAUGCGUAGAGAUCCGGAGGAACACCAGUGGCGAAGGCGACACGCUGGGUCACACCUGACGCUAAAACGCGACAGCAUGGGGAGCAAACGGG
rnacentral:rRNA from 1 species